GUUUGAUCCUGGCUCAGGAUGAACGCUAGCGGCAGGCUUAACACAUGCAAGUCGAGGGGUAACAGGGAUUGCUUGCAAUCCGCUGACGACCGGCGCACGGGUGCGUAACGCGUAUGCAACCUACCUUCUACAGGGGGAUAGUCAAUAGAAAUGUUGAAUAAUACCCCAUACGAUCUUUGAAUAGCAUUAUUUAAAGAAGAAAGUUCCGGCGGUAGAAGAUGGGCAUGCGUCCUAUUAGUUAGUUGGAGAGGUAACGGCUCCCCAAGACAUCGAUAGGUAGGGGUCCUGAGAGGGAGACCCCCCACACUGGUACUGAGACACGGACCAGACUCCUACGGGAGGCAGCAGUGAGGAAUAUUGGACAAUGGAGGCAACNCUGAUCCAGCCAUGCCGCGUGCAGGAAGACUGCCCUAUGGGUUGUAAACUGCUUUUAUACAGGAAGAAAUGUACCUACGUGUAGGUAUUUGACGGUACUGUACGAAUAAGGAUCGGCUAACUCCGUGCCAGCAGCCGCGGUAAUAAGGGCGAAU
rnacentral:rRNA from 1 species